GAUGAACGCUAGCUACAGGCUUAACACAUGCAAGUCGAGGGGCAUCAGGAAGAAAGCUUGCUUUCUUUGCUGGCGACCGGCGCACGGGUGAGUAACACGUAUCCAACCUGCCCUUUACUCGGGGAUAGCCUUUCGAAAGAAAGAUUAAUACCCGAUAGCAUAAUGAUUCCGCAUGGUUUCAUUAUUAAAGGAUUCCGGUAAAGGAUGGGGAUGCGUUCCAUUAGGUUGUUGGUGAGGUAACGGCCCACCAAGCCUUCGAUGGAUAGGGGUUCUGAGAGGAAGGUCCCCCACAUUGGAACUGAGACACGGUCCAAACUCCUACGGGAGGCAGCAGUGAGGAAUAUUGGUCAAUGGGCGUUAGCCUGAACCAGCCAAGUAGCGUGAAGGAUGAAGGCUCUAUGGGUCGUAAACUUCUUUUAUAUAAGAAUAAAGUGCAGUAUGUAUACUGUCUUGUAUGUAUUAUAUGAAUAAGGAUCGGCUAACUCCGUGCCAGCAGCCGCGGUAAUACGGAGGAUCCGAGCGUUAUCCGGAUUUAUUGGGUUUAAAGGGAGCGUAGGUGGACUGGUAAGUCAGUUGUGAAAGUUUGCGGCUCAACCGUAAAAUUGCAGUUGAUACUGUCAGUCUUGAGUACAGUAGAGGUGGGCGGAAUUCGUGGUGUAGCGGUGAAAUGCUUAGAUAUCACGAAGAACUCCGAUUGCGAAGGCAGCUCACUGGACUGCAACUGACACUGAUGCUCGAAAGUGUGGGUAUC
rnacentral:rRNA from 1 species